AUAUAUAAUACCAAUAAGAACGAGACUAUAAUUACGUGAUAGAUGAUAAU
rnacentral:guide_RNA from 1 species